AAAGGAGGAGAAGAGAAGAGAGGGAGAAGAGAGGAAGAAGGAGGGAAAGCCUAGAGAUUGCUAAUCUCAACUAUUUUGAGUGAUUCCAAAGCCUAAAUCACUCCAAAUCUCCUCCUCUUUCAUAAUCCUAGCUUUGUUUUGAGUGAGGAGCAUUGUGGAGAGGGAUAUUGGCUCUAAAAAAUUCGCCCAUUUGGUGAAAUUUGGGAUUUUGAGUGCUUCAACCUCCAUUGAAGCUUGAGGAACUAUCAAUCAUUGGUUGUGUGACCAUUGGUGGAUUGAGACAUUUGGACCAACCGUGAGUGAUCAACCAUUGGAGCAAACUAUAGAGCUUGAUUAGCUCCUUGGAAUAGGUGUGUUACUUGUAAGUCAUCGUUGAAACCAAAGUUGAUUGGUUGCUGAACCGUUGGUGGUGAACAAAGGUUGACUGAAGCAUUGAGGUAAGGAUGCUGCAGGAGCCACCAGUGGCAAGUGGCCAUACUUGGACUAGUGUUGAUGCAUGAGGAUCCAGUAUUUUGAUAUCAUACAUGUUGUUUUGUAGCUCACAUGUAUAGAAUUGUAAAUAAUAGGCAAUGAUAGAUUUACGAUUUGUAUAUUGGAAUGGACUUAGCCUAUGCUCAUACCUUUGGUUAUCUCUUUGUUGAUGGGAGCCAAGGGAGUGAUCAUAGCGUUUUGUGAGCUAAGUUCCAUGAUUUGUAAUGAAUAUGUACUGUAAAUGAUGCCUACUUGAAAUUCAAUAUAUGCAUGCU